rnacentral:rRNA from 1 species
UACGUAGGGGGCUAGCGUUGUCCGGAUUUAUUGGGCGUAAAGAGCGUGUAGGCGGUUAGGUAGGUCCGUUGUGAAAACUCGAGGCUCAACCUCGAGACGCCGAUGGAAACCAUCUAACUAGAGUCCGGAAGAGGAGAAUGGAAUUCCUGGUGUAGCGGUGAAAUGCGCAGAUAUCAGGAAGAACACCCGUGGCUAAGGCGGUUCUCUAGUACGGUACUGACGCUGAGACGCGAAAGCGUGGGGAGCAAACAGG